UGCCCACUGAUAAAUAUUAAAGGGCUGCAGUAAUUUGACUGUACAAAGGUAGCAUAAUCAUUAGUCAUUUAAUUGAUGACUUGUAUGAAAGAUUGGAUGAAAUAUAAACUGUCUUUAAAAUAUUAUAUAGAAUUUAAUUUUUUGAUUAAAAAGUUAAAAUAAAUAAAAAAGACGAGAAGACCCUAUAGAGUUUUAUUAUUAAAUAAAUUAAUGUUAUUUAUAAAUAAGAUAGAUUUAAAUUAAUUUAAUAAUUUUGUUGGGGUGAUGAAAAAAUUAAAUAAACUUUUUUUAUAAUAAUUAUAUAACAUGAAUAAGUGAAUUAUUGAUCCAUUAAUAAUGAUUACAAGAAAAAAUUACCUUAGGGAUAACAGCGUAAUUUUUUUUUUUAGUUCAUAUAAAAAAAAGAGUUUGCGACCUCGAUGUUGGAUUAAGAUAAAAUUUAAAUGUAGAAGUUUAAUAGUUUUGA
rnacentral:rRNA from 1 species